rnacentral:rRNA from 1 species
ACGUAGGGUGCGAGCGUUGUCCGGAAUUACUGGGCGUAAAGAGCUCGUAGGUGGUUUGUCGCGUUGUUCGUGAAAUCUCACGGCUUAACUGUGAGCGUGCGGGCGAUACGGGCAGACUAGAGUACUGCAGGGGAGACUGGAAUUCCUGGUGUAGCGGUGGAAUGCGCAGAUAUCAGGAGGAACACCGGUGGCGAAGGCGGGUCUCUGGGCAGUAACUGACGCUGAGGAGCGAAAGCGUGGGGAGCGAACAGGAUUAGAUACCCUGGUAGUCCACGCCGUAAACGGUGGGUACUAGGUGUGGGUUUCCUUCCUUGGGAUCCGUGCCGUAGCUAACGCAUUAAGUACCCCGCCUGGGGAGUACGGCCGCAAGGCUAAAACUCAAAGGAAUUGACGGGGGCCCGCACAAGCGGCGGAGCAUGUGGAUUAAUUCGAUGCAACGCGAAGAACCUUACCUGGGUUUGACAUGCACAGGACGCGUCUAGAGAUAGGCGUUCCCUUGUGGCCUGUGUGCAGGUGGUGCAUGGCUGUC